rnacentral:rRNA from 1 species
CACGUAGGGCGCAAGCGUUGUCCGGAAUUAUUGGGCGUAAAGAGCUCGUAGGCGGUCUGUUGCGUCCGCUGUGAAAACUCGGGGCUUAACCCCGAGCCUGCAGUGGAUACGGGCAGACUAGAGGUAGGUAGGGGAGAAUGGAAUUCCCGGUGUAGCGGUGAAAUGCGCAGAUAUCGGGAGGAACACCGGUGGCGAAAGCGGCUCACUGGACCACAACUGACGCUGAGGCGCGAAAGCUAGGGGAGCAAACAGG